rnacentral:rRNA from 1 species
AACUGAAAGGUAGGUCCUUCGCGAGGCCCACCUCCCACCCGAGUUUACAGUAACCUUAGUAGCUUCGGCGGGCCCGCCUUUAAGGCCGCCGGGGGGCAUCAGCCCCCGGGCCCGCGCCCGCCGGAGACACCACGAACUCUGUCUGAUCUAGUGAAGUCUGAGUUGAUUGUAUCGCAAUCAGUUAAAACUUUCAACAAUGGAUCUCUUGGUUCCGGCAUCGAUGAAGAACGCAGCGAAAUGCGAUAACUAGUGUGAAUUGCAGAAUUCCGUGAAUCAUCGAGUCUUUGAACGCACAUUGCGCCCCCUGGUAUUCCGGGGGGCAUGCCUGUCCGAGCGUCAUUGCUGCCCAUCAAGCACGGCUUGUGUGUUGGGUCGUCGUCCCCUCUUCGGGGGGGACGGGCCCCAAAGGCAGCGGCGGCACCGCGUCCGAUCCUCGAGCGUAUGGGGCUUUGUCACCCGCUCUGUAGGCCCGGCCGGCGCUUGCCGAACGCAAAACAACCAUUCUUUCCAGGUUGACCUCGGAUCAGGUAGGGAUACCCGCUGAACUUAAGCAUACA